UAAAAUAACCGAUCUUAAAAGUACUUUUAAAAUCAAUUAUUUUAUGACCAAUCUUAAAAGUGCUACUUUUAAAAUUGGUCAUUUAA
rnacentral:miRNA from 1 species